rnacentral:rRNA from 1 species
GCGACCCCAGGAUGGGCGAGGCCACCCGCCGAGUUUAAGCAUAUCAAUAAGCGGAGGAGAAGAAACUUACGAGGAUUCCCU